rnacentral:rRNA from 1 species
UACGGGGGGGAGCAAGCGUUGUUCGGAUUUACUGGGCGUAAAGGGCGCGUAGGCGGCCACCGCAAGUCGACUGUGAAAUCUCCGGGCUUAACCCGGAAAGGUCAGCCGAUACUGCGGGGCUAGAGUGCAGAAGGGGCAACUGGAAUUCUCGGUGUAGAGGUGAAAUUCGUAGAUAUCGAGAGGAACACCGGUGGCGAAGGCGGCCUUCUGGACAGUGACUGACGCUGAGACGCGAAAGCGUGGGGAGCAAACAGG